rnacentral:rRNA from 1 species
GACGUAGGGCGCGAGCGUUGUCCGGAUUGAUUGGGCGUAAAGAGCUCGUAGGCGGCUCGUUGCGUCGGCUGAUGAAAACCCGCAGCUCAACUGUGGGCCUGCAGCCGAUACGGGCGGGCUGGAGUUCGGUAGGGGAGACUGGAAUUCCUGGUGUAGCGGUGAAAUGCGCAGAUAUCAGGAAGAACACCCGUGGCGAAGGCGGUUCUCUGGGACGGUACUGACGCUGGAGACGCGAAAGCGUGGGGAGCGAACAGG